rnacentral:rRNA from 1 species
UUGGUUAAGUUAGAAAGGGCGCACGGUGGAUGCCUUGGCACUAGGAGCCGAAGAAGGACGGGACUAACACCGAUAUGCUUUGGGGAGCUGUACGUAAGCGUUGAUCCAGAGAUUUCCGAAUGGGGGAACCCACUAUCUUUAGUCGGAUAGUAUCCUUACGUGAAUACAUAGCGUGAGGAAGGCAGACCCAGGGAACUGAAACAUCUAAGUACCUGGAGGAAGAGAAAGAAAAAUCGAUUUCCUGAGUAGCGGCGAGCGAAACGGAAAGAGCCCAAACCAAGAAGCUUGCUUCUUGGGGUUGUAGGACACUCUAUACGGAGUUACAAAAGAAAGUUAUAAAUGAAGCGGUCUGGAAAGGCCCGCCAAAGACGGUAACAGCCCGGUAGUUGAAAUGGCUUUCCCUCCAGAGUGGAUCCUGAGUACGGCGGAACACGUGAAAUUCCGUCGGAAUCCGGGAGGACCAUCUCCCAAGGCUAAAUACUCCCUAGUGACCGAUAGUGAACCAGUACCGUGAGGGAAAGGUGAAAAGCACCCCGGAAGGGGAGUGAAACAGUUCCUGAAACCGUGUGCCUACAAGUAGUUAGAGCCCGUUAAUGGGUGAUAGCGUGCCUUUUGUAGAAUGAACCGGCGAGUUACGAUUUGUUGCAAGGUUAAGCGGAAAAAGCGGAGCCGUAGCGAAAGCGAGUCUGAAUAGGGCGCAUAAGUAACAGGUCGUAGACCCGAAACCAGGUGAUCUACCCAUGUCCAGGAUGAAGGUAAGGUAAUACUUACUGGAGGUCCGAACCCACGCACGUUGAAAAGUGCGGGGAUGAGGUGUGGGUAGCGGAGAAAUUCCAAUCGAACUUGGAGAUAGCUGGUUCUCUCCGAAAUAGCUUUAGGGCUAGCCUCGAGGUAAAGAGUCAUGGAGGUAGAGCACUGUUUGGACUAGGGGCCCUUCUCGGGUUACCGAAUUCAGAUAAACUCCGAAUGCCAUGUACUUAUACUCGGGAGUCAGACUGCGAGUGAUAAGAUCCGUAGUCGAAAGGGAAACAGCCCAGACCACCAGUUAAGGUCCCCAAAUAUAUGUUAAGUGGAAAAGGAUGUGGGGUUGCUUAGAC